rnacentral:rRNA from 1 species
AUUGAACGCUGGUGGAAUGCUUUACACAUGCAAGUCGAACGGCAGCACGGACUUCGGUCUGGUGGCGAGUGGCGAACGGGUGAGUAAUGUAUCGGAACGUGCCCAGUCGUGGGGGAUAACGUAGUGAAAAUUACGCUAAUACCGCAUACGAUCUAUGGAUGAAAGCGGGGGAUCGCAAGACCUCGCGCGAUUGGAGCGGCCGAUAUCAGAUUAGGUAGUUGGUGGGGUAAAGGCCCACCAAGCCAACGAUCUGUAGCUGGUCUGAGAGGACGACCAGCCACACUGGAACUGAGACCCGGUCCAGACUCCUACGGGAGGCAGCAGUGGGGAAUUUUGGACAAUGGGCGAAAGCCUGAUUCAGCCAUUCCGCGUGCAGGAUGAAGGCCCUCGGGUUGUAAACUGCUUUUGUACAGAACGAAAAGGUUUCUACUAAUACUAGGAGCUCAUGACGGUACUGUAAGAAUAAGCACCGGCUAACUACGUGCCAGCCGCCGCGGUAA